ACCGUACUUACCGCCUGCACCCCAGGAUCAGCCGCUACGCCCAGCAUGGUUCAGAGCGACCUCGCAGCUGUUUUGUGCUUGGUUCAAGCAGCCACAGGGUCAAGCAUUGGCGGCAUGGGAAACCAGAUAACGUGCACUUUUGUUAAUUUCCUUACCACCACCCUCACAAGACAGGGCUUCC